CCCAGCAGUGAUAGCACAUUGAAUGCACCUGUAUCAGAUGGAUCACUGAAGUUAAACAACGUUGCGUGUGGUUAGUAUCCGGAUGGGUGACCAUCUGGUCAAUCGCGUGGUGCUGGUU
rfam:Asian citrus Psyllid, Diaphorina citri - Florida Strain, whole genome shotgun sequence.